rnacentral:rRNA from 1 species
GUAGUUAGCCGGGGCUUCCUCCUUGGCUACCGUCACUUUCUUCGUCACCAAGGACAGAGGUUUACAACCCGAAGGCCUUCUUCCCUCACGCGGCGUUGCUGGGUCAGGCUUUCGCCCAUUGCCCAAUAUUCCCCACUGCUGCCUCCCGUAGGAGUCUGGACCGUGUCUCAGUUCCAGUGUGGCCGAUCAGCCUCUCAGCUCGGCUACCCAUCGUCGACUUGGUGGGCCGUUACCCCGCCAACUAUCUAAUGGGACGCGAGCCCCUCCCUCUGCGGAUUGCUCCUUUGACCUCAUCCCGAUGCCGGGUCGUGGUCUUAUGCGGUAUUAGCAUCUGUUUCCAAAUGUUAUCCCCCUCAAAGGGUCAGGUUGCUCACGCGUUACUCACCCGUCCGCCGCUAAUCCACUCCCGAAGAAGUUUCAUCGCUCGACUUGCAUGUGUUAGACACGCCGCCACGCGUUCGUCCGUCGACGACACUAACUACAACUACUACGA